CAAGUCGAACGAUGAAGUUCCUUCGGGAAUGGAUUAGUGGCGAACGGGUGAGGAACACGUGAGAAACCUGCCUUUCAUUCUGGGAUAACACCGGGAAACCGGUGCUAAUACCGGAUACUCCGUCUUGGCGGCAUCGCCGAGCCGGGAAAAAAUUUUGAUGAAAGAUGGUCUCGCGGCCUAUCAGCUAGUUGGUGAGGUAAAGGCUCACCAAGGCGACGACGGGUAGCCGGCCUGAGAGGGCGACCGGCCACACUGGGACUGAGACACGGCCCAGACUCCUACGGGAGGCAGCAGUAGGGAAUAUUGGGCAAUGGGCGCAAGCCUGACCCAGCGACGCCGCGUGAGGGAUGAAGGUCUUCGGAUUGUAAACCUCUUUCAGUAGGGAAGAAGCGAAAGUGACGGUACCUAAAGAAGAAGCACCGGCUAACUAUGUGCCAGCAGCCGCGGUAAUACAUAGGGUGCAAGCGUUGUCCGGAAUUAUUGGGCGUAAAGAGCUCGUAGGUCGUUUGUCGCGUCGAUUGUGAAAAUCUGAGGCUCAACCUCAGACCUGCAGUCGAUACGGGCAAACUAGAGUGUGGUAGGGGAGACUGGAAUUCCUGGUGUAGCGGUGGAAUGCGCAGAUAUCAGGAGGAACACCAAUGGCGAAGGCAGGUCUCUGGGCCAUAACUGACACUGAGGAGCGAAAGUGCGGGGAGCGAACAGGAUUAGAUACCCUGGUAGUCCGCACCGUAAACGGUGGGCACUAGUUGUGGGAACCUUCCACGGUUUCCGCGACGCAGCUAACGCAUUAAGUGCCCCGCCUGGGGAGUACGAUCGCAAGAUUAAAACUCAAAGGAAUUGACGG
rnacentral:rRNA from 1 species